rnacentral:rRNA from 1 species
UAUGUGAUCGUCUCUCGCAUAUCAAUAAGCGGAGGAAAAGAAACUAACAAGGAUUCCCCUAGUAACGGCGAGUGAAGCGGGAAGAGCUCAAAUUUGAAAUCUUAAAGGGUUUCCCUUUACGAAUUGUAGUUUAAAGAAGUGUUUUCUGUUGAGGUUUUGGUAAAAGUUCUUUGGAAUAGGACAUCAUAGAGGGUGAGAAUCCCGUAUUUGACCUUUACUUUCAACUUUGUGAUACACUUUCAAAGAGUCGGAUUGUUUGGGAAUGCAGUCCAAAAUGGGUGGUAAAUUUCAUCUAAAGCUAAAUAUUGGCGAGAGACCGAUAGCGAACAAGUACCGUGAGGGAAAGAUGAAAAGAACUUUGAAAAGAGAGUUAAACAGUACGUGAAAUUGUCAAAAGGGAAGCGUUUGACACCAGUGUUGUUUUUCUGAAAAUCAAUUAAAGAACUGUUUAUGCUAAGCUGUUUAGACUUUAUCAGCUAUCUGUUUAGUUUUGAGCUUUUCUUUAAUGCACUUUUCAGUUAACAAGUCAACAUCAAUUUCUUUUGCUGUAAAAAAGCUUGAGGAAGGUGGCUUGAGAUUCGUCUUAAGUGUUUAUAGCCUCUUGCCUAUGCAGUCGGAGAGAUUGAGGUCUGCAGCGUAGAUCCUUCGGGGUUAAAUAGCAUUGAUGCUAAGCUAUAGCCCUGUAUAGACAACUUGUUGACUAUGCUCUGUCAUGUAGCUUACUCGCUUAUGCUAUUUUACCUACGCUUAGGAUGUUGACUGAUAUGUAGUCGUA